AUUUAAGUUUUCCAGGGUUCCGCAGUUUACAGCUGGCAGGUCCGAGCGAAAACGCAAAGUUGGACUGUGGACAAGGAAGGAUAAAAGCCUGGGAGUU
rnacentral:sRNA from 2 species